rnacentral:lncRNA from 1 species
GAAGGAAGUGGGCCCCUUCUCUCUUCCUCCUGGUCUCUGCUCUGGAGUCGUUAUGUGAUCCCCCGGCAAGAGAGGGUGCCAGCUAGCAGAUGAGAAAUCCUAGUCAUUGGCCAAGCAGCAUUUGUACCUAAUAUAAGUCUCUGUAUAUUAUUUGGGGCUCUAACUCGGCAGGCAGAACUCGGGUGGCUGGCAGAAAUCGCCCAUGUGGUGGUAGGGCUUGGGUAGCUUUUGGUGGAAAGAUUUAUCAUAACAGUUUUUCAGAGAAUUUUUUUUUUGCAAAGUUAAGAUAUUCAUAUGAGCAUGAUAUUAACACUAAUAAUUACUAUAUUUUUCCUUUACCUUAUUUAUUUAUUUAUUUAUUUAUUCAUUCAUUGGUUUGUAGAGCAAGGUUUCAUUACAUAGCUGUGUUUAGCCUGGAAUUUGCUAUGUAGAUCAAGCUAGCCUUGAACACACAGAGAUUUCCCUGCCUCUGCCUCUGCCCCUGCCUCUGGAGUGCUGGCUUUAAGCAGUUGGUGGGUAAAAGCAGACAGAAAACAACGAGGGACAGAGCAGAUUUAAGAAAUGUUCUGAACCCAUUUGACCUGAAACUUCUAGUGUUCUUCAACUUCAGAACAUUCAGGUUUUGUCAUCUGCAUUCAGGCUGUUUACCAAGCUAGACCAUAUACAGAGCUGUUGAUGCUCAGUGAGGAAAAGUGCUUGUCAUCGUAGCCUGGUGACCAGAGUUCAGUUCCUGGAACCCAUGUUGAGGUGGAAGAGGGAAACACAGACUUAUCUUCUGACUUUCACUGGCUCAAAGGAAGAAAGAAGGGUUCCAGAGAUCCACUGAGAUGAGAGCUGUAAUAUCACAAAGAAAGUGACUGUGAACAAAGCUCCCAAGAACCUCUAAUAUAGCCCUGAAUGUGCACACAUGAGGCUUCAAACUCCAUCACUUACAAGACUUACAAGGCAGUGAAAGUCAGAAGGUCUGUACCAGGUUGGAGAAACCCACAGAAACAGUUGGCCUGAAAAAGGGAAAGCAUAUCGACCCCAGACGCUCUUUGGGAGGCCAGUACAGGACUAAUCCAGCCCCCUGAUCAUGGAUGCCAAUGGGGAGGCCCCUGCACUCCUGGGAGCCUCCAGAGGUGGACUGGCGUUUUGCCCUGGUGUGUGUGUGUGGGGGGGAAUUCGAGAGCCCAUCCCACUUGAAGGGAUGUGCUUUGUCUCUGAACACAUGGGGAGGGGCCUAGGCCCAGCACAGGA